UGCCAGCCGCCGCGGUAAUACGGAGGGUGCAAGCGUUGCUCGGAAUCACUGGGCGUAAAGCGGACGCAGGCGGAACGUUAAGUUGGAUGUGAAAGCCCCGGGCUCAACCUGGGAACUGCAUUCAAAACUGGCGUUCUUGAGUUCAAGAGAGGGUGGUGGAAUUCCUGGUGUAGAGGUGAAAUUCGUUGAUAUCAGGAGGAACACCGGCGGCGAAGGCGGCCACCUGGCUUGAUACUGACGCUCAUGUCCGAAAGCGUGGGGAGCAAACAGGAUUAGAUA
rnacentral:rRNA from 1 species